UCCUUCCUACGGGGAAGCAGCAGUGGGGAAUAUUGCACAAUGGGCGAAAGCCUGAUCCAGCGACGCCGCGUGAGGGAUGACGGCCUUCGGGUUGUAAACCUCUUUCAGCACGGAAGAAGCGAAAGUGACGGUACCUGCAGAAGAAGCACCGGCUAACUACGUGCCAGCAGCCGCGGUAAUACGUAGGGUGCAAGCGUUGUCCCGGAAUUAUUUGGGCGUAAAGAGCUUCGUAGGCGGGUUUGUCGCUUCGGUUGUGAAAACCCCGGGGCUUAACCCGGGGUUUGCGUUCGAUACGGGCAGGCUAGAGUUCGGUAGGGGAGAUCGGAAUUCCUGGUGUAGCGGUGAAAUGCGCAGAUAUCAGGAGGAACACCGGUGGCGAAGGCGGUUCUCUGGGCCGAUACUGACGCUGAGGAGCGAAAGCGUGGGGAGCGAACAGGAUUAGAUACCCUGGUAGUCCACGCCGUAAACGUUGGGCGCUAGGUGUGGGGUGCAUUCCACGUUUGCCGUGCGCGCAGCUAACGCAUUAAGUGCGACACUCUGCACGAGCUAUAAAGGGU
rnacentral:rRNA from 1 species